UCCGCUACGAUUAAGCCCUGUUCGUGGUGCAGGUGGGUUUCCACCAGCUUCAAGCCCCAUUCCUGGUCCAAGUAGGUCUCCACCACCUUCAAGUCCCAUAUCUGUUCCAAGUAGGUCUCCCCCACCUUCAAGCCCCAUUCCUGGUCCAAGUAGGUCUCCACCACCUUCAAGCCCCAUUUCCAGCGUAAGUAGG